rnacentral:rRNA from 1 species
CGCGAAUGGCUCAUUACAACAGCCUCUGUUUAUUAGAUCUUUUUAUCCUACUUGGAUAACUGUGGCAAUUCUAGAGCUAAUACACGCACCAAAAUUCCGACCUUGCGGAAGGAGUGCAUUUAUUAGACCAAAACCAAUGCAGGCUUGUCCUGCUACUUUGGUGAAUCUGAAUAACCUUUGCCGAGUGAAUGGUCUUUGAACCGUCACCAUAUCUUUCAAGUGUCUGCCUUAUCAACUUUCGACGGUAGUUUAUAUGACAACCGUGGUUGUAACGGGUAACGGAGAAUUAGGGUUCGACUCCGGAGAGGGAGCCUGAGAAACAGCUACCACAUCCAAGGAAGGCAGCAGGC